rnacentral:rRNA from 1 species
AUGGCGACCGGCGCACGGGUGAGCAACACGUAUCCAACCUGCCGAUAACUCGGGGAUAGCCUUUCGAAAGAAAGAUUAAUACCCGAUGGUAUAAUCAGACCGCAUGGUCUUGUUAUUAAAGAAUUUCGGUUAUCGAUGGGGAUGCGUUCCAUUAGGCAGUUGGUGAGGUAACGGCUCACCAAACCUUCGAUGGAUAGGGGUUCUGAGAGGAAGGUCCCCCACAUUGGAACUGAGACACGGUCCAA